UGUGAUAAGGGGACCCCAAGUGCUUAUGCAUUGCAUAGGCUUUUGCCAAGAGUAAAUAUCUUGGAGAAUAAGUGGUGGGAAAGACUGGUGCCAGCCGCCGCGGUAACACCAGCGCCACGAGUGGGAAUCGUUUUUAUUGGGCCUAAAGCGUCCGUAGCAGGUUUGAUAACUCUCUUGUGAAAUCAUUCAGCCUAACUGAAUGGCGUGCAGGAGAAACUGUCAAACUAGGAACCGGGAGGAGUCAGAAGUAUUCUUGGGGGAGCGGUAAAAUGUGAUAAUCCCAAGAGGACUACCUGUGGCGAAGGCGUCUGACUAGAACGGAUUCGACUGUGAGGGACGAAAGCUAGGGGAGCGAUCCGGAUUAGAUUUCGAGCAUUCUGUUCAGCUUGAUCGUUAGUAAAACUGCUGAGCAAAUAAUCAGAAUGAUAAAACUCGACUAAAUACCCGAGUAGUCCUAGCCGUAAACGCUGCGAGCCAGGCGUUGCAUAUUCCACGUGAAUGUGCAGUGUCGAAACGAAGGUGAUAAGCUCGCCGCCUGGGAAGUAUGGUCGCAAGACUGAAACUUAAAGGAAUUGGCGGGGGAGCAC
rnacentral:rRNA from 1 species